rnacentral:lncRNA from 1 species
GGUGUGGAAAAGGAAGCCCUGGCCCUCCUGGGAUUGGAGGGAUUGCAAGAGAUGACCAAGGCAGAUGGUUAUUUUCUUUUUGUGGGCACAUGGCAAAAGCAUCAAGUUUAGCUGCUAAACUUUGGGCAAUAGAAAGACGAUUAAUGCUGUUGAAGGUUAUGAAAUAAAAGAUGGCAUCCUUGAAACUGAUUCUACAGAAGCUCU